rnacentral:rRNA from 1 species
CACGUAGGGCGCAAGCGUUGUCCGGAAUUAUUGGGCGUAAAGAGCUCGUAGGCGGUUUGGCAAGUCGGGUGUGAAAUUUCGAGGCUCAACCUCGAAACGCCACUCGAUACUGCCAUGACUGGAGUCCGGUAGAGGAGUGCGGAAUUCCUGGUGUAGCGGUGAAAUGCGCAGAUAUCAGGAGGAACACCAACGGCGAAGGCAGCACUCUGGGCCGGUACUGACGCUGAGGAGCGAAAGCGUGGGGAGCAAACAGG